AAGAAAAAUCCCUAAAGCAGACAACAUUGAGUCUCUUGGCUAAACUCCAUUCAUCAGUUGAGGGUGGCUAUAAAUUUAACACUAUUUAACACUAUUUUUCACUAUUAACACAUCACAGGCAUUUAAACACCCAAGUAAAUGAGCAAAUAAAUCAUUGAGAACACAUCAAGAAAGAAGUCUCCAGUUAUGACAUUUUGUCAUCAAGUCCUGCUUUUUCUCAUCAAUCUGAUUGUGUAAGGCUGGACCGUGACUUCCAGAAAGUCUGCCAUGUUGGUGAGGCCACACUGCUUCACUCCAUGGGAACUAGAUCUUCACUUCUGGGGACAAGGAGAGUCUUCAGCAGCAUGACAGAGGGUCUCAAGUGAGGAGAGGCAUCCCCUGGGAGCAAGAGUGGAGGACUCCAUGACACAACGUGUUCAGUGUCCUAGUCGUACUUCAAACCUGGGUGUGUCACUUUAUUUCUCCUUCACACACAGUGACAACAACUAAGGACACAGAGUGACAACUCGACAGCAAGUUUAUUAAACUGACCUGGCAGGAUUUUGCUAAACCUGGACUAAAUGGGAUAAGGGCAGAGCCCAAGAAUGAAACCUCAUCAGAAAGAGACAUCAGAGGAGCCUAACUCACGUUUGGUUAAGAGAGAGAGAAAGCAUGAGAGGGGAGAGAGUCAGAG